GCUCCUCUCGCCCCAGUUCUCGUUCAUGUCCUCCACGAACGCCUUCGUCUCGGCGUCCGCGUCCGACGGCAGGACGACGGCCGGGGAAGGGUCCGACGACGGGAAGUUCACGUCGCUCUCCCACGGCGCUCGGUUCCCGGACGACAGGUCGUCCGGCAACCACGCUCGGUUCCCGGACGACAGGUCGUCCGGCAACCACGCCGUCUCCCACGCGUCGUUCCAUUCGUCGCCGCCGCGGCCGGCG
rnacentral:lncRNA from 1 species